GCCUGGGUGGCUCAGUCGGUGGAGCGGCUGACUUCGGCUCAGGUCAUGAUCUCGCGGUCCGUGAGUUCGAGCCCCGCGUCGGGCU
rnacentral:tRNA from 1 species